AACAUCUCCUUGCCUUGGUGAAGAAUUAAAGGAUCAAGGCUGAUCCAGCAGCAAGCCCUCCGAGGACACCAGUGACUCUGGCUGAUGCUCCCCUGUCCCAUCCUCAGCACGUGAUGCCUUAAAAAUGCUUCAGACUUGCAUGAGGUUAAACUGCUGCUGCUUCACAGUGCACUUCAUCUCCUGGAAUGAGUGUCACAAAUAAUUCCUGUCUGGUUUCACAUACCAGCCUUGGAGCAGCGAUGGAGACACUGGUCCUGACCAG
rnacentral:lncRNA from 1 species